rnacentral:rRNA from 1 species
GUAGUCUCGCACAGAUGCAUAUCAAUAAGCGGAGGAAAAGAAACUAACAAGGAUUCCCUUAGUAACGGCGAGUGAAGCGGGAAGAGCUCAAAUUUGAAAUCUUCAAGGUUUUACCUUGACGAAUUGUAGUUUAAAGAAGUGUUUUCUGCUGAAGUUUUGGUAAAAGUUCUUUGGAAUAGGACAUCACAGAGGGUGAGAAUCCCGUCUAUGAUUGCAUAUUUCAGCUUUGUGAUACACUUUCAAAGAGUCGGAUUGUUUGGGAAUGCAGUCCAAAACUGGGUAGGUAAAUUUCAUUCUAAGCUAAAUAUUGGCGAGAGACCGAUAGCGAACAAGUACCGUGAGGGAAAGAUGAAAAGAACUUUGAAAAGAGAGUUAAACAGUACGUGAAAUUGUCAAAAGGGAAGCGUUUGACACCAGUGUUGUUUUCUCGAAAAUCAAUUAAAAAUGGCUCGAUUUUGUAUUGUUGAGACCUUAAAAGCUCACUGUACAUUUUUCGUGUCUUUUUUAAUGCACUUUUCGUUUAACAAGUCAACAUCAGUUUCUUUUGUUGUAAAAGGGUCAUUGGAAGGUGGCUUUCUUUUCGGAGAAAGUGUUUAUAGCCUUUGGCCUCUGCAAUCGGAGAGACUGAGGUCUGCAGCGUAGACUCUUCGGGGUUAGAUACAUUUGUGCUAAGUUAUAGCUUUUUAUAGACAACUUGUGACUAUAAUUAGUCUUGUAGCUUACUCGCUUAUGCUAUUUUACCUACGCUUAGGAUGUUGAGUCGUAGAGCACGCAG